UUCCACUACAUUGUUAUCCACAGGUACUGAAUUUAUUUGAUUAAAAGAAAAACCCUAAUCAGUCUGACUAAUGUUCAUUUAAGUAUAUCUUUUUUGUGUGAUCACAGAUGCUCCAACCACAGCUGCUGACAAUACGACUGGCCAAACUGAAGCCAACAACAACGAGAGUGAAACUUAUCUGACAGUAGUAGUGAUGACCACAGCAGUGUCUCUGUGUGUCCUCAUAUCACUGACCAUCUGUGUCAUUCUUUAUUUCCAAAAACAAAGUCACAAAACCAACAGUCAAAUUGAUUUGAACUGCCAGACUACCGUAUAUUAUGCCAACAUUUCAGGAGGGUUUGAUGGUCCAUUCUGUUUUUUAGAUGAUUAUAACAACUGAAUCAUGACUUUGGUGUGAACAAACAGAAGCUCCUGCAUGUAAAGCAGAGGACAGAUAUUUAAUGUGCUUUUGUUGUUGUUGUUGUUGUUGUUGUUUUCUUUAAAUAAGGAAUGACUCUCAAUCUGGGGAAAAUUCUUUAAUAUGAAAUUUCAUGCUGCUUCUAUCGCAAAAGUACACUUUUUAAUUGAAUGACGAUUUAUAGAACAGUUGAUUGCUGUCAAAAGACAGAAACAUAACUGUCAGGGUUAUGUGUGUUUUUGCUCUCUGUGACCCAGUUUCUGUCUCCAUUGAUUGUGUUAAUUUGAUUCCAGGUGUGUCUCGUUCUUCCUCAUUUACCUUGUGUUUAAAAGUCCUAGUCCUUUCAAUCAGUGUUGGUCGGUUCUGAAUGUCUUUCCAUGUGUUCCUCGGUCUCCUACGGUCCCCUUGGAUUGGACUAUUGAAUUAUUUAAAAAAAAUAUUGAAGAACUCCUCGUUUCUUUCUCUCCGAGUGUAUUGUGACAGUAUCAGGCUUGUGAUGCAUUUUUAUACAGGACACACUGUAAGAGACACAUGACAACUCUUCUGUAGAAUGACUCUUGGAUUUUCUUCUUUUUUCUGCACAUA